rnacentral:lncRNA from 1 species
GCGCUCCCUCCAGGUCGCCCCCGGGCUCCCGCAAACCCACCCUGACCUCCUUCCUGCCGCUCGCCGCCCGGCCGCACUCUCUGUCCAUCCGAAGGGAAGGCGCCCCAGAGUUUGCGUCCCCGUCUGCUGCAGAGUAACUAGAUUGUAAAUAACGCGGCGAUGACCCACACCGUGCAGGAAUGUUUAAAAAAAAAAAAAAAAUCUGCCCUCCAUUUAAAUGAGCGAUAAAAAGAAAUGGCAGGAGGGGAAGGAGGCUGGGAGAGGGGGAUAUCUCUAGAUCUCGGUGGAGCUCGCGUCUAUAAAUACGCAUUCAUGUUUAGUCAAGUCCCCUUUGUCAACUUCUUCCCUGCGCUGGAACCUCGCCGGCUGUCCUGUAACCAUUACCUGGGCCCUUUCGUGUCGCCCACCCCCGUUUGCACACGCAUGAUGCUGAUUUGCAUGUUCUCUGCCCCCAUCUCGGCGAUCUUCUUCAGGCGCGCAUCCAUUGACUGAGCCGCGUCUCUCGGCACCCCCAGCAUUUCCCAGAGUGCAACAACACCACCCGAGAUCAAUGACCAGUCUGUUUAUUCUUGACGCGCCGGGAAGAGCAAGGCACUGAAGGAGCAUGGGAGGAAGACUUGGGGCUUGCCUCUUGGCGACCUCUCGCAGACUUUUUCUAGCUGGAUUUCUAAACGGCAGCUAGCAAGCAAAUAGAGUUCCUCAAUGCACGCCAUCACAUACCAAUGACGAUAUAUUCAUCUAGAAAUGUGAUACAUCCUUUUUCCCUCCACCCCCUUUCACCUUUUGUCGAUUUGUCUCUGGAGGUGGAUUGCUAAUACCUGAGAUUUUGCACUUGUCUAGGGCGGAAACUUUCUGGGGUGUUUGACGAUUGAUUAUUUGGUACCUGCUUUCUAAAAAUGGCUAAACACCUUUCCUUGGAACAAAAGUGAGAAAUGCAAAUCCUAAUAACUCAAGGCAAAAAUUUCAAAGUGUAAGCACAGUUAUUAUCCACUCCCACAAAGAAAAGCUUACUCUUCCACAAAUAUUUGAUAGCAUAGAGCCCAGUAAUUAAGAGAACAAUCAAAUAAACUCAAGGCUUUCAUGGGGACUCUAAAUUAU